GCGCCCAUAGCUCAGUUGGUUAGAGCAUUACCUUCACACGGUAGGGGUCAUUGAUUCGAGUUCAAUUGGGCGCACCA
rnacentral:tRNA from 2 species